GCCAGAGCGGCGUCUACAUGGACCCGCCUCCAAAUUGCAAGCUCGUAGUGCUGGUCCUUUUAAAAUUUUAAAGCAAGUUGGUCCAAAUGCAUAUAUUGUCGACAUUCUAUCCCACAUUGGUUACCACUAUACUUUCAAUGUUGAAGACCUUGUAGCUUAUAAAGGCCAUUUCAUUCCCUCGGAUGAUCCCCUGUUACCUCCUUUUGUGGACCUUGAUCCUAAUUCUUUGGCCCCCUCUAACCCACUACCACCUCUCACAGCACACACAGAUAAAAUUGAUGCUAUUUUAGAUGAAGAAACUGUGUUUACUAAUGAUGGAGAGGUUCAGCGCUUCCUUGUUCAUUGGGUUGGUCGACUAGAUUCUGAUUGUGCAUGGAUCUCCAGGGAGACACUACAGCAUUUGGAUCCAGAUUUGCUAGAGCUUUAUCGGAGUCAGCAGGACCUUCCUUGGCCCAGAUCGCCUCCCGUCCACCCGAGGGGAGUUGAUGAGGACACCAGGUUCAGACCGCCACUGACGCAUUUCUACAGACGCCAGAAGAAACUUGCCCAACCACUCAACUUAUGGUUGGGAGAUUGACGAGAGUCUACGGUGAUAUAUCCACUCGACAGGGUCGAGUUUUCUCCCACCCCGGGAGAGUUGAUGAGGACAUCAUUAUAGUUGGAC
rnacentral:lncRNA from 1 species